GAUGAAGAACGCAGCGAAAUGCGAUACGUAAUGUGAAUUGCAGAAUUCAGUGAAUCAUCGAAUCUUUGAACGCAUAUUGCGCUCUCUGGUAUUCCGGAGAGCAUGCUUGUUUGAGUAUCAGUAAACACCUCAACUUCCAUAUCUUUUUUGAAAUGGGAGUUGGACUUGAGUGAUCCCAACGCUUUUCCUCACCGAAAAGUGGCGGGUUACUUGAAAUGCAGGUGCAGCUGGACUUUUCUCUGAGCUAUAAGCAUAUCUAUUUAUUCUGCCUAAAAAUCAGAUUAUUACCUUUGCUGCAGCUAACAUAAAGGAGAUUAGUUCUUGUGCUGACUGAUGCAGGAUUCACAAAGACGGCUUCGGCCGACUUUGUAAACUCGAUCUCAAAUCAAGUAAGACUACCCGCUGAACUUAAGCAUAUCAAUAAGCGGAGGA
rnacentral:misc_RNA from 1 species